CUGCAGGGGGCCCACAGGCUGAAGAACCAGAGAAAAUCCUCCCUUACUUGGGGAAGGUCAGUCUUUUUUUCUAUUCAGGUCUUCAACUGAUUAGAUAAAGCUCACCACAUUGGGGAGGGCCAUCUACUUUACUCAAAUGUUCAUUACAUCCCAAAACCCCCUUUCGCAGACACACCCAGAAUAAUAUUUAACCAAAUGUCUGGGCACCCUGUAGCCUCGUCAAGUUGACACAUAAAACUCAC
rnacentral:lncRNA from 1 species